AGUGAACGCUGGCGGCGUGCUUAACACAUGCAAGUCGAACGAGAACGGGUUAUAGCUUGCUAUAAUUGUCAGCUAAGUGGCGCACGGGUGAGUAAUGUAUAGGUAAUAUGCCUCUUACUAAGGGAUAACAAAUGGAAACGUUUGCUAAUACCUUAUACUCCUUAUUAACAUAAGUUAAUAAGGGAAAGAUUUAUUGGUAAGAGAUUAGCCUGUAUUGUAUCAGUUAGUUGGUGGGGUAAUGGCUUACCAAGACUAUGACACAUAACUGGUUUGAGAGGAUGAUCAGUCACACUGGAACUGAGACACGGUCCAGACUCCUACGGGAGGCGGCAGUGGGGAAUAUUGCACAAUGGACGAAAGUCUGAUGCAGCAGCGCCGCGUGGAGGAUGACACAUUUCGGUGCGUAAACUCCUUUUAUAUGAGAAGAUAAUGACGGUAUUAUAUGAAUAAGCACCGGCUAACUCCGUGCCAGCCGCCGCGGUAAUAC
rnacentral:rRNA from 1 species